UACGGGGGGGGCAAGCGUUGUUCGGAAUUACUGGGCGUAAAGGGCUUGUAGGUGGCCAACUAAGUCAGACGUGAAAUCCCUCGGCUUAACCGAGGAACUGCCGUCCAAACUGCUUCGCUUGAGACCGGGAGAGGUGAGUGGAAUUCCCAGUGUAGCGGUGAAAUGCGUAGAUAUUGGGAGGAACACCAGUGGCGAAGGCGGCUCACUGGACCGGUACUGACGCUGAUGCGCGAAAGCGUGGGGAGCAAACGGG
rnacentral:rRNA from 1 species